CGAACGCUGGCGGCGUGGAUUAGGCAUGCAAGUCGAACGCGAAAGUAUUUCUUCGGAGAUACGAGUAGAGUGGCGGACGGGUGAGUAACGCGUAGGUGAUCUACCUUAAAGUGGGGGAUAGCCCCGGGAAACCGGGAUUAAUACCGCAUGUGAUCGCAAGAUUAAAGACGGCCUCUGUUUCAAGCUGUCGCUUUAAGAUGAGCCUGCGUCCUAUUAGCUAGUUGGUAAGGUAAAAGCUUACCAAGGCGAUGAUAGGUAGGCGGCUUUGACGAGUGGUCGCCCACACUGGGAUUGAGAUACGGCCCAGACUCCUACGGGAGGCAGCAGUCGAGAAUAGUCUACAAUGGACGAAAGUCUGAUAGUGCGACGCCGCGUGGAUGAAGAAGCGCUUCGGUGUGUAAAAUCCUUUUCUUUGUGAGCAAUGCCAUUUAGGUUAAUAGCUUAUUUGGAGAGAUAUUAGCAGAGGAAUAAGCUCCGGCUAACUCC
rnacentral:rRNA from 1 species